rnacentral:misc_RNA from 1 species
CUUCUCCCCUCCGUAACGUGUGAAAAUCUGGCUCCAAGUCCCAUGUCCUGUUUCUGCACUGUCAUCAAUCAGAAGUCAGCCAGUCUACCAUUUCGUUCAAGAUCUGCAUCCCGUUUUGUGUCGGUGAUUCCUCUCUCUCUCGAAUUGUUACUAGUCUCUCUAUUCUUAAUCAUCCGUUUCACUUUCAUCCAUUGAAUCUUUUUCGCUUCUAUCGAUUGCUGUGCUUUUAUUAUUGUAGAUCAACGUUAAUUUUGCUUUAACGCUAAUUUGCUGCCCUUGUCUUAGAAUCUGGAAACGGAGUCAUUUUUCUAGUUCAUAUUCUUUAGCCAUGGCAUCAUCUUCCUCUGUUACCUCUACAACUCUUUAUUUGUUUCUCUAGAUUGUCAAGGAUCUACCAAAUUCUUCCUCAAAACGCCACAAUUAGCUCAAACUGUCAAAAGGGUUCCCAAAUGUCUUCGAUUCGAAUCGAUUCCUCAAAGCAAUUAGCCACGAGUAGCCUUGUCUUGGGUUAUGCUCUCUGUUCAAGCUUGCUUGCUGUGAUUAACAAGUUUGCCAUUACUAAAUUCAACUACCCUGGUCUUUUAACUGCAUUGCAGUACUUGACCUCUGCAUUGGGCGUAUGGGUUUUAGGCAAAUUAGGAUUUUUGCAUCAUGAUGCCUUCACAUAUGAAACUGCCAAGAAGUUUUUACCCGCUGCUAUUGUUUUCUACCUUGCAAUUUUUACAAAUACCAACCUUCUGAGCCAUGCCAAUGUGGAUACUUUUAUAGUGUUCAGAUCCUUGACACCCCUUUUGGUUGCUGUUGCUGAUGCUGUGUUUAGAAAACAGCCCAUCCCAUCGAAGCUCACUUUCUUGUCCUUGUUUAUCAUUUUGGGUGGUGCUGUUGGGUAUGUGGCCACUGAUUCUGGCUUUACUUUAACUGCCUACUCUUGGGCAUUUGCUUAUUUAGUGACCAUCACUUCGGAGAUGGUUUAUAUCAAGCACAUUGUGUCAAAUUUUGGUUUGAACACAUGGGGUCUUGUGUUGUAC